UUGAACGCUGGCGGCAUGCCUUACCCAUGCAAGUCGAACGGUAACGGGCCUUCGGGUGCCGACGAGUGGCGAACGGGUGAGUAAUACAUCGGAACGUGCCCGAUCGUGGGGGAUAACGAGGCGAAAGCUUUGCUAAUACCGCAUACGAUCUACGGAUGAAAGCAGGGGACCGCAAGGCCUUGCGCGGACGGAGCGGCCGAUGGCAGAUUAGGUAGUUGGUGGGAUAAAAGCUUACCAAGCCGACGAUCUGUAGCUGGUCUGAGAGGAUGAUCAGCCACACUGGGACUGAGACACGGCCCAGACUCCUACGGGAGGCAGCAGUGGGGAAUUUUGGACAAUGGGCGCAAGCCUGAUCCAGCCAUGCCGCGUGCAGGAUGAAGGCCUUCGGGUUGUAAACUGCUUUUGUACGGAACGAAAAGCCUUCUUUUAAUACAGGAGGGUCAUGACGGUACCGCAAGAAUAAGCACCGGCUAACUACGUG
rnacentral:rRNA from 1 species